rnacentral:rRNA from 1 species
UACGUAGGGGGCAAGCGUUGUCCGGAAUCAUUGGGCGUAAAGCGCGUGUAGGCGGCUCGAUAAGUCUGCUGUGAAAGUUCAGGGCUCAACCCUGAAAUGCCGGUGGAAACUGUCGAGCUAGAGUCCGGAAGAGGCGAGUGGAAUCCUGGUGUAGCGGUGAAAUGCGCAGAUAUCAGGAGGAACACCAAUGGCGAAGGCAGCUCGCUGGGACGGUACUGACGCUGAGACGCGAAAGCGUGGGGAGCAAACAGG